UACGUAGGGUGCAAGCGUUAAUCGGAAUUACUGGGCGUAAAGCGUGCGCAGGCGGCUUUGCAAGUCAGAUGUGAAAUCCCCGGGCUUAACCUGGGAACUGCAUUUGUGACUGCAAGGCUGGAGUGCGGCAGAGGGGGAUGGAAUUCCGCGUGUAGCAGUGAAAUGCGUAGAUAUGCGGAGGAACACCGAUGGCGAAGGCAGUCCCCUGGGCCUGCACUGACGCUCAUGCACGAAAGCGUGGGGAGCAAACAGG
rnacentral:rRNA from 1 species